UAUCUCUGUAGAGUCUGCAUAUCAAUAAGCGGAGGAAAAGAAACUAACUAGGAUUCCCUCAGUAACGGCGAGUGAAGCGGGAAGAGCUCAAAUUUGAAAUCUUCAAGGUUCUACCUUGACGAAUUGUAGUUUAAAGAAGUGUUUUCUGUUGGAGUUUUGGUAAAAGUUCUUUGGAAUAGGACAUCAUAGAGGGUGAGAAUCCCGUAUUUGACCAUUAUUUCCAGCUUUGUGAUACACUUUCAAAGAGUCGGAUUGUUUGGGAAUGCAGUCCCAAAUGGGUGGUAAAUUUCGUCUAAAGCUAAAUACUUGGCGAGAGACCGAUAGCGAACAAGUACCGUGAGGGAAAGAUGAAAAGAACUUUGAAAAGAGAGUUAAACAGUACGUGAAAUUGUCAAAAGGGAGGCGUUUGACACCAGUGUUGUCUUUCUCGAAAAUCAAUUAAAAAAGGCAGGAUUUUGUGUUGUAUUGACUUUAUCAGCUUUCUGCACUCUUUUCUUGUCUUUUUUUAAUGCACUUUUCGUUUAACAAGUCAACAUCAAUUUCUUUUGUUGUAAAAGGGUCAUUGGAAGGUGGCUUUCUUUUCGGAGAAAGUGUUUAUAGCCUUUGGCCUCUGCAAUCGGAGAGAUUGAGGUCUGCAGCGUAGAUCCUUCGGGGUUAGAUACAUUUGUGCUAAGUUAUAGCCUUUCAUAGACAACUUGUUGACUAUGAUCAGUCAUGUAGCUUACUCGCUUAUGCUAUUUUACCUACGCUUAGGAUGUUGAUAGUCACAGCGUGUAC
rnacentral:rRNA from 1 species